GUUUGUUGUUGUUGUUCUUCGGGACGGAGCGAAGGAGGAAUUACUGAACACGAAGAGAAGAAAGAGGCGAAGGAAGAGGAGAAAGAGGCGAGGGAAAGAGAAGGUGCUGAAAGAAGAAGGGAAGAAAGGAUAGGAAGGAAGAAGAACAGAGAUCAAAGAAGGGAAGAGAAGAAAGAAGGGAAUUGUUGAAAACGAAGAGAAGAAAGAGGCGAAGGAAGAGGAAAGAGAAGGUGCUGAAAUAAGAAGGAGAGAAAGGAUAGGAAGGAAGAAGAACAGAGAUCAAAGAAGGGAAGAGAAGAGAGAAGGAGAAGAAGAAUUAUUGAGAACGAAGAGAAGAAAGAGGCGAAGGAGGAGUGAGGAAAGAGAAGGUGCUGAAAGAAGAAGGGAAGAAAGGAUAGGAAGGAAGAAGAACAGAGAUCAAAGAAGGAAAGAGAAGAGAGAAGGAGAGGAAGAAAUUAAAGGAGAGAUUUCGAGAGGAAAUAAUGAUACUUUUCCGCCCAACAAAAUAAGAAAGACUGACAGAAUAUAUGGAUAUGUAUCUAUAUGUGCGUAAACAUAAGGAAAAGACCUUGAAAUAACCACAAAAAAAAAGCGGUAGAAAGAAAAUUAUACAAAUCAAAGUUCAAAGUGGAUGGGGAAGAACGAUGGCCAAGAUAAUUCAGAUAAACAAGGAAAAUGAACAAAAAAAGUUGAAAGCUGAAAUAGAGAGAUGACUUAAACAUUGCACCACCUGAAGUCAAGAAGUUUAUCUGCUAUAAGUCAACCUGUCACUACCGGCAUGGCUGAGUCGAGUGAAACCUUCAUUACUUUCCAAGAAGGAAAUGAUUUUUCAACUGAUGGUUUGAGUAUGUCAGCACUACAUCCCCUUGCUCAAGGACCACUUGUAGUUGUGAAAUGCGAGAGUUCCAGCCUUGAGGAGAUGGUGGUGGGCGGCUGUGAGGAGAAGAUCUCCCUAGAGCCUGGCCUUGCGGAAGGGCCAUUAUCACAUAAAGCAG